CAGAAAAAUAAUCCGCCGUCGCCGUGCACAGGUGCACUACGAGUGUGUUCCCUUUGAAAACUUUGGAUAACGCGCCUAAGUAAUCCUAAUACUAAUAGGACUAUACUACGAGCGUAUCGUAUGCUCCCUCGUUGGCUCCUCGUGUCACUAUAUAAAGGGCAAUGCUCCGACAGAAGAACAUCACAAAGUCGAGAGCAGAGAGCGCCUCGUAGCAUCAGCAAGUAUUCCUUGCCAGGUUCCUGCUUCAGUUGUUCUGCUGUCUCUGUGAACUCGACCGCGGCGUCGACCAUGAGCUACCCACCACCGGGCACCGCGUACCCGCCGCCGGGCCAGGAGGCCUACCCGCCUCCAGGGUACGGCGCGCCGCCGCCUGUCGCCGCUAACUACCAGCAGCAGGCCCCGCCGCAGGACUCGCAGGACCGCGGCGGCGACGGCUUCUGGAAAGGAUGUUGUGCUGCUAUUUGCUGCUGCUGUCUGCUCGACAUGUGCUUCUGAUCACAAGUUCCUACUGCCAGCAGCAGGCAAUCCGACGAUGAUCUACUCACUCAGAGCUGCUCAUAGUUGACCAUGGUUAUUUCUAUUGUAGUAUUUGUGCUGUUCGGGUGGAGAUUUGUAUGGGUUGUACUAGUUAAUUUUGCAUCUGGGUUUUGGCUUCAUUCUGUAUCACGGUAUUGUUAUUGGCAGAGUCUUAGUCUCUUCAGUUUGUUGGUGAUGAAUAACACGUAGCGGUAGCAUGCGAGAAUUCUUGACGA